GACGAACGCUGGCGGCGUGCCUAAUACAUGCAAGUAGAACGCUGAAGGAGGAGCUUGCUUCUCUGGAUGAGCUACGAACGGGUGAGUAACGCGUAGGUAACCUGCCUGGUAGCGGGGGAUAACUAUUGGAAACGAUAGCUAAUACCGCAUAAUAGCAGUUGUUGCAUGACAACUGUUUGAAAGGUGCAAUUGCACCACUACCAGAUGGACCUGCGUUGUAUUAGCUAGUUGGUGGGGUAACGGCUCACCAAGGCGACGAUACAUAGCCGACCUGAGAGGGUGAUCGGCCACACUGGGACUGAGACACGGCCCAGACUCCUACGGGAGGCAGCAGUAGGGAAUCUUCGGCAAUGGACGGAAGUCUGACCGAGCAACGCCGCGUGAGUGAAGAAGGUUUUCGGAUCGUAAAGCUCUGUUGUAAGAGAAGAACGAGUGUGAGAGUGGAAAGUUCACACUGUGACGGUAUCUUACCAGAAAGGGACGGCUAACUACGUG
rnacentral:rRNA from 1 species